GAUGAACGCUGGCUACAGGCUUAACACAUGCAGUCGUGGGGAAACGGCAUUAUGUGCUUGCACAUUCUGGACGUCGACCGGCGCACGGGUGAGUAUCGCGUAUCCAACCUGCCCCUUACUUGGGGAUACCCCGUUGAAAGACGGCCUAAUACCCGAUGUGUUUCAUUGACGGCAUCCGAUAUGAAACAAAGGUUUUCCGGUAAGGGAUGGGGAUGCGUCUGAUUAGCUUGUUGGCGGGGCAACGGCCCACCAAGGCGACGAUCAGUAGGGGUUCUGAGAGGAAGGUCCCCCACAUUGGAACUGAGACACGGUCCAAACUCCUACGGGAGGCAGCAGUGAGGAAUAUUGGUCAAUGGACGCAAGUCUGAACCAGCCAAGUAGCGUGCAGGAUGACGGCCCUAUGGGUUGUAAACUGCUUUUAUGUGGGAAUAAAGUGGCGCACGUGUGCGCCAUUGCAUGUACCUCAUGAAUAAGGACCGGCUAAUUCCGUGCCAGCAGCCGCGGUAAUACGGAAGGUCCGGGCGUUAUCCGGAUUUAUUGGGUUUAAAGGGAGUGUAGGCGGUCUGUUAAGCGUGUUGUGAAAUUUAGGUGCUCAACAUUUAACUUGCAGCGCGAACUGUCAGACUUGAGUACACGCAGCGCAGGCGGAAUUCAUGGUGUAGCGGUGAAAUGCUUAGAUAUCAUGAGGAACUCCGAUCGCGAAGGCAGCCUGCGGGAGUGUUACUGACGCUUAAGCUCGAGGGUGCGGGUAUCGAACAGG
rnacentral:rRNA from 1 species